AGAGAGUAUAUCUGGGAAUAUUAAGAAGGGUUCACAAGGCAGACUCAGGGGUUGGGUUUUGUGUGUAACCAUGUGACCACACCUUUACAACUGUCUGUAAUUCUCACUAGCAGUAUAUUAGAGGGCAAAAGAUUUGAACAGACAUAUCAGAAAAGAAGACAUACAAAUGGCCACUAAGCACUUAAAAGGAUUCUGAACAUCAUUAGUCAUCAGUGAAAUGCAAAUUAAAGCCAUAAUGAAUGACGCUAUACAUUUUCAGAAUGGCAAGGACUAAAGACUGAAAAAAAUCAAGCGUUGAGGAGAGUGACAAAUGGGGAGACAGCUGUGGUGCAUGAUCGCAGAAGAAAUACCAUGUGAGGAUACAGCAAGAAGUUGGCCAUCUACAAGCCAAGGAGACAGGCCUCAGAAGAAACCAACCCUUCUUACACCCUGGACUCAGACUUCUAACCUCCAGAACUGUAAGAAGAUAAAUUUUCAUUGUUUAUGCUGCCCA
rnacentral:lncRNA from 1 species